rnacentral:rRNA from 1 species
GCUUAGAGUUUGAUCCUGGCUCAGGAUGAACGCUAGCGGCAGGCCUAAUACAUGCAAGUCGAACGGUUGGAAUGUUUAGCAAUAGAUGUUCCAAUAGUGGCGCACGGGUGCGUAACGCGUAUGCAACCUACCUCUAACUGGGGGAUAACCCCGGGAAACUGGGAUUAAUACCGCAUAAGAUAGUAUUGCUUCAUGGCAGAGCUAUUAAAGAUUUAUCGGUUAGAGAUGGGCAUGCGUGACAUUAGUUAGUUGGUGAGGCAACGGCUCACCAAGACUUCGAUGUCUAGGGGUUCUGAGAGGAUGAUCCCCCACACUGGUACUGAGAUACGGACCAGACUCCUACGGGAGGCAGCAGUAGGGAAUAUUGAUCAAUGGACGCAAGUCUGAACCAGCCAUGCCGCGUGCAGGACGAAGGCCCUCUGGGUUGUAAACUGCUUUUGUAUAGGAAGAAACCCUUCGACGUGUCGAAGGCUGACGGUACUAUAAGAAUAAGGAUCGGCUAACUACGUGCCAGCAGCCGCGGUAAUACGUAGGAUCCAAGCGUUGUCCGGAUUUAUUGGGUUUAAAGGGUGCGCAGGCGGCCUGAUAAGUCAGUGGUGAAAGCCGACAGCUUAACUGUCGAAAUGCCAUUGAUACUGUUGGGCUUGAGUAUAGUUGAGGUUGGCGGAAUGUAACGUGUAGCGGUGAAAUGCUUAGAUAUGUUACAGAACACCGAUUGCGAAGGCAGCUGACUAAGCUAUUACUGACGCUCAUGCACGAAAGCGUGGGGAUCAAACAGGAUUAGAUACCCUGGUAGUCCACGCCGUAAACGUUGAUAACUCGAUGUUGGCGAUAUACUGUCAGCGUCUUAGCGAAAGCGUUAAGUUAUCCACCUGGGGAGUACGCCGGCAACGGUGAAACUCAAAGGAAUUGACGGGGGCCCGCACAAGCGGUGGAGCAUGUGGUUUAAUUCGAUGAUACGCGAGGAACCUUACCUGGACUUAAAAUGCAGAAGACCGACGGUGAAAGCCGUUUUCCAGCAAUGGCUUCUGUGUAGGUGCUGCAUGGUUGUCGUCAGCUCGUGCCGUGAGGUGUCGGCUUAAGUGCCAUAACGAGCGCAACCCUUAUCAUUAGUUACUAACAGGUUACGCUGAGGACUCUAAUGAGACUGCCACCGUAAGGUGUGAGGAAGGUGGGGAUGACGUCAAAUCAGCACGGCCCUUACGUCCGGGGCGACACACGUGUUACAAUGGGGGGUACAGAGGGUCGCUACCUAGUGAUAGGAUGCUAAUCUUAUAAAGCCUCUCUCAGUUCGGAUUGGAGUCUGCAACUCGACUCCAUGAAGCUGGAUUCGCUAGUAAUCGCGCAUCAGCCAUGGCGCGGUGAAUACGUUCCCGGGCCUUGUACACACCGCCCGUCAAGCCAUGGAAGCUGGGGGGACCUGAAGUACGUAACCGCAAGGAGCGUCCUAGGGUAAAACUAGUAACUGGGGCUAAGUCGUAACAAGGUAACCAAGCC